rnacentral:rRNA from 1 species
UGGGGAAUCUUCCGCAAUGGACGAAAGUCUGACGGAGCAACGCCGCGUGAGUGAAGAAGGUUUUCGGAUCGUAAAGCUCUGUUGUUUGAGACGAAUGUGCAGACUUUGAAUAAGGGUUUGUAAUGACGGUAUUAAACGAGAAAGCCACGGCUAACUACGUGCCAGCAGCCGCGGUAAUAAGUAGGUGGCAAGCGUUGUCCGGAAUUAUUGGGCGUAAAGGGGGCGCAGGUGGGAAUGUAAGUCAGUCUUAAAGGUGCGGGGCUCAACCCCGGGAGGGGAUUGAAACUACAUGUCUGGAGUGCAGGAGAGGAAAGUGGAAUUCCUAGUGUAGCGGUGAAAUGCGUAGAGAUUAGGAGGAACACCAGUGGCGAAGGCGACUUUCUGGACUGUAACUGACACUGAGGCUCGAAAGCCAGGGGAGCGAACG